UACGUAGGGGGCGAGCGUUGUCCGGAUUUAUUGGGCGUAAAGAGCGUGUAGGCGGUUCGGUAAGUCUGUCGUGAAAUCCUGAGGCUCAACCUCGGGCGUGCGAUGGAUACUGCCGGGCUAGAGGGUGGUAGAGGCGAGUGGAAUUCCUGGUGUAGCGGUGAAAUGCGCAGAUAUCAGGAAGAACACCUAUGGCGAAGGCAGCUCUCUGGGACGGUACUGACGCUGAGACGCGAAAGCGUGGGGAGCGAACAGG
rnacentral:rRNA from 1 species